GAUGAACGCUAGCGGCAGGCUUAAUACAUGCAAGUCGAGGGGCAUCAAGGUACACGAAAGUGUAUUGUUGGCGACCGGCGGACGGGUGAGUAAUAGGUAGGUAACCUACCUCAUACUGAGGCAUAGCUGGGAGAAAUUCCAGGUAAUUCCUCAUGAGGUUAUAUGACACAUGUGAUAUAAUCAAAGGUAUCGCAAGGUACUGGUAUGAGAUGGGCUUACUGACCAUUAGCUAGUUGGUGAGAUAAGAGCUCACCAAGGCGAAGAUGGUUAGGGGUUUUGAGAGAGAGAUCCCCCACAUUGGAACUGAGAUACGGUCCAGACUCCUACGGGAGGCAGCAGUAGGGAAUAUUGGGCAAUGGGCGGAAGCCUGACCCAGCCAUGCCGCGUGCAGGAAGACGGCCUUCUGGGUUGUAAACUGCUUUUGCCAGGGGAUAAAAGACCAUGCGUGGUCAAUUGAAGGUACCUGGUGAAUAAGCCACGGCUAACU
rnacentral:rRNA from 1 species